rnacentral:misc_RNA from 1 species
AACUUUCGACAACGGAUCUCUUGGCUCUCGCAUCGAUGAAGAACGCAGCGAAAUGCGAUAAGUAAUGUGAAUUGCCGAAUUCAGUGAAUCAUCGAAUCUUUGAACGCACCUUGCGCUCCUUGGUAUUCCGAGGAGCACGCCUGUUCGAGUGUCGUGAAGUUCUCAAGCUUUAGAUGCUUUUUGUUUGACAAUUAUGCUCUCUAAGCUUGGUAUUGUGCUUUGCCGUGUCCCUUCUUGGAACGGCAGGUCCAAAAUGCAUUAGCUUGGCCCCUCAUCUGGCAUUGGUGCUACUCAGUGUGAUAAUAAUCUGACCUCUGAGGACAUCCUUUGGGAGGGCCAAUUCUUGUUUGGGUGGCUUUCUAGUCUUGUUUACUGGAUUCGUGAAAUCCGGUGCCACUCUCAAUUUCGACCUCGAAUCAGGUGGGACUACCCGCUGCACUUAAGCAUAACAAUAAGCGGAGGCU